rnacentral:lncRNA from 1 species
ACGCUCGAAGCUCGUCCCCAACUCUUCCUCACCCUCUCCAACACCAGCGCCGCCCCCUCCCCCGUGCGCCGCCCUUCCCUCGUGCGCCGUCCGUCUCACCGGAGACGCCAUCGCCCCUGUCCACAUUGGCCCCCUCGCUUCCCAUUGCCGAUUCGAUAAGGUGAGGCCUCAAACGGACUCCCCACGACCUCCUCUACCCUGUCCUGCCGUCUCCCCUCACCGCCGGCGAGCCUAGGCAGCCGCCCCUAGGCCGGCCACCCCUUCACCCAACUCCCUGUAUCGUACGGUACAGAGGAAGAAGAAAGACACCCCUUUUCGAUCUAACCCCCACCUUUCCCAUAUUCACCAACCAGUCCUCCCACCACUCUCAAGAAAUUCCCGCGGAUAUGCCCCUCCACCACCCAGAAAUCUUCAUAAAUAGGCCCCUGGUUCUUAUGGUUGGGUCCAAAGCCUUAUUUUAACCCCUAAAUACACGGUUAUCUCGUCAUUUCAUGCGCCAAACUUCCUCCAAUUAAUCUCAAAUUUGACCACGUCAUCCUCCAAUAUACUUCCGCUAAGCCAUAUCUAAAUUUCAUGAAAAUACUCAUUCCUUCAAUUUUUCGUUCGCGUUCUCUGUUCGAAGCUCAACAGGUAAAAUCUUAUUUUCUUUUAUUUAUUGUGUGCCCGAUUGUGUGUGUCGUAGAUCGCGGAGUACCCGAGGAGGAGCACGAGGAGGAGUUUGACUGCAAGCCUGAGCCGGAGGACCAACACCGCGAGCAAGAACUCCCGGCCAACUACG